UGGGGAAUAUUGCACAAUGGGCGCAAGCCUGAUGCAGCAACGCCGCGUGAGGGACGACGGCCUUCGGGUUGUAAACCUCUUUUAGUAGGGAAGAAGCGAAAGUGACGGUACCUGCAGAAAAACGCACCGGCUAACUACGUGCCAGCAGCCGCGGUAAUACGUAGGGUGCGAGCGUUGUCCGGAAUUAUUGGGCGUAAAGAGCUCGUAGGCGGUCUGUCGCGUCUGCUGUGAAAACCCGAGGCUCAACCUCGGGCCUGCAGUGGGUACGGGCAGACUAGAGUGCGGUAGGGGAGAAUGGAAUUCCUGGUGUAGCGGUGGAAUGCGCAGAUAUCAGGAGGAACACCGAUGGCGAAGGCAGUUCUCUGGGCCGUAACUGACGCUGAGGAGCGAAAGCGUGGGGAGCGAACAGGAUUAGAUACCCUGGUAGUCCACGCCGUAAACGUUGGGCGCUAGAUGUGGGGACCAUUCCACGGUUUCCGUGUCGCAGCUAACGCA
rnacentral:rRNA from 1 species